CGGAAAAUAGUUUAUAAAAAUAUUAAUUUUGGAGAUUAAAGAUGCAUUUUUAAUUGCUUUUCCGA
rnacentral:tRNA from 1 species